rnacentral:rRNA from 1 species
AGUCGAACGGACACUCAGGGCUUGCUCUGUGUGUUAGUGGCGGACGGCUGAGUAACGCGUAGGUGACCUGCCCCGAAGUGGGGAAUAACUGCCCGAAAGGGUGGCUAAUACCGCAUGUGGUGAUGCGUUCAUUCGCAUCAGUAAAGCCGCAAGGCGCUUCGGGAGGGGCCUGCGUCCGAUUAGCUCGUUGGUGGGGUAACGGCUCACCAAGGCGACGAUCGGUAGGUGGUCUGAGAGGACGAUCACCCAGACUGGGACUGAGACACGGCCCAGACUCCUACGGGAGGCAGCAGUCGGGAAUUUUGCGCAAUGGACGAAAGUCUGACGCAGCAACGCCGCGUGAGGGAUGACGGCCUUCGGGUUGUAAACCUCUUUUGUCAGGGAAGAUAAUGACGGUACCUGGCGAAUAAGCCACGGCUAACUACGUGCCAGCAGCCGCGGUAAUACGUAGGUGGCAAGCGUUGUCCGGAUUUACUGGGCGUAAAGAGCGCGCAGGCGGUCGUUCAAGUCGCGUGUGAAAGCCCCCGGCUCAACUGGGGAGGGUCACGCGAUACUGAUCGACUCGAAGGCAGGAGAGGGUAGUGGAAUUCCCGGUGUAGUGGUGAAAUGCGUAGAUAUCGGGAGGAACACCAGUGGCGAAGGCGACUACCUGGCCUGUUCUUGACGCUGAGGCGCGAAAGCUAGGGGAGCAAACGGGAUU